AUCGAGAGCGUAAUAACACCCGGCGUGUAGAGUCCCAAUUUCAGGUAGUCCCAACAUGUGUCAUGUCGUUGAUUAAUCACACGACUUCCCACCCUUUAAUUGUCUGAAUGAGAGGCUUAUGUGGCCCUAAUAAAGGAAGGACCGAUCGGAAAACGGAAUUCCAGAACGCAUAUUUUGGCCCAAAAGGAGUCUAAAGUCUUUAUUGUUUUUAGCCCCAAGGUCCUCACUAUUCAACAGCCUUAAAAACCAUGAGUAGUUUAAGGAUUUCCAUAGGGAUUCAGUGUUAAAACAACUCAACCCCCAAUCGUGA
rnacentral:lncRNA from 1 species